rnacentral:lncRNA from 1 species
ACCGUACAUGAUGCAAUUGUAAAUUGCAAAAGAAAAACCAUUGAUUUGAGGUGUGUAAAUAACGAGAUAAUCCGAGUUGAGUCUACGGACUUGAAUGGGUUACCAGCUGUAAUAUCAUCAAUGUUGGCUCAGAAAUAUGUAAGAAAGGGGUGUGAAGCAUACCUUGCGUAUGUACUUGAUGACAAAGAGUUAGAAAAGAAACCUGAAUCUGUG